rnacentral:rRNA from 1 species
UGGGGAAUAUUGGACAAUGGGCGGAAGCCUGAUCCAGCCAUGCCGCGUGUGUGAAGAAGGCCUUUUGGUUGUAAAGCACUUUAAGCGAGGAGGAGGCUCUUCUAGUUAAUACCUAGGAUGAGUGGACGUUACUCGCAGAAUAAGCACCGGCUAACUCUGUGCCAGCAGCCGCGGUAAUACAGAGGGUGCGAGCGUUAAUCGGAUUUACUGGGCGUAAAGCGUGCGUAGGCGGCUGAUUAAGUCGGAUGUGAAAUCCCUGAGCUUAACUUAGGAAUUGCAUUCGAUACUGGUCAGCUAGAGUAUGGGAGAGGAUGGUAGAAUUCCAGGUGUAGCGGAGAAAUGCGUAGAGAUCUGGAGGAAUACCGAUGGCGAAGGCAGCCAUCUGGCCUAAUACUGACGCUGAGGUACGAAAGCAUGGGGAGCAAACAGG